AUACUUAUUUUCGAUAUGUGGCUCAUUGGGUCACACGAUAUUAAUCAAGUGUAGUAUUUAUUCUUAUCAGUUUAAUAUAUGAUAUGGGGCUCAUCAGAUCACACCAUAUUAAAUUAUUUUUUUGAGGGGUAGGGGCCACUACAGAAGCAUGCUACUAGGCUUCUCGAGUGUCACCGAUAUGUUGCACUAUUGCAUUGGCCGGCACACCCACC
rnacentral:snRNA from 1 species